CGUCUGCAUUUCGCAGUCUGCGCUCUGCAGUUACACCGUUAUAAGCUUUCGAAUUUAAAAUUUGGAAACUCACAAACAAGGUUUCCUUUUCUACAACUGUCUGCUUACGUGGUACCGUCUCGUGAUGUUAUAAAAUAUGGAUUUGCUGAUAAUUCUGGAAUUCCUGUUGGCUGUCAUCAUCAGUUUGGCUUCGAAAUUUGGAGUUCUAUUCGGAAGGAAUAUCAGCAAUACGGGAUCGUCCUUAUAUGUUCGGGUUUUUAACUACUGUUGAGUUGCAACGUUCAACGGUAAUACUUUGGCAAUUCCACGACGUAGAGAACAUCAUUCGAAGUUUGGCGUCAACACGUUAAUCGGAAUUCCAUCAACACAUUUGGCUCUUGAUAGAUCGGACUUCAGAGAUCGCAGCUUCUGAUGAAACAUAAAUUACUGCAACGCCAGAUCGGGAAUUCCUGUUCCAAACUAUUUUGGAUUUUUAUCGAAGCGUCAAAGAUUAUUCUGAGCUCGCGUUUUUGAUUGUGAUUUUGAUUUCUGCGAAGUGUGAACAGAUUCAUUUUGGGUAGUAACAUUGUUUGUUGCGUUUUGUUAUCCUGUCAUUGCGUGCAAUGCAAAAUUUGUUUGACUUUAUUGCACUUGUUCUGGAAUUCCUGGUUUUAGUACUACGACCGUAAUGUGUAGAAGUGAUCUUGAAAUUAAAAUUUCU